AAGGGAAAGGAAGCAAGCAACGACUGGCCGCUUCGACCCACACCGGUCGUCGUCUUCCUCCGACCACCGUCUCCCAUUAAAAGCCCCCCAUUCCACCUUCCUACUGCCCUUCGGUUUCGCCUCUGACUUCGCGAUCCCGCUCUCCGAACGGUUCCCACUCGAUCGAGGUACGCCUCGCUCGAAUCGGUGCCUCCUAUGCUCCGGCCGAGCUUGCCCGUUUCGGAUUUUGGGUUUCCAUAGUUGUCCUGAUUCCUGGCGAUUAUCUUUUGGUUAAAAGAGAUUGAUCCCUAGGUCUUAUUCUUGUUUCGGUUUGGUCGUAGCAGGUGCAGACGAGCUACUUCUGGGAAUCAUUUUUGAGUGUUUUGGGACUUUGGAUUGUUUGAAGUGGUGGAAAAAAUUGAGUUUUGGGUCGUAAAAUUGGGUGGAUUCUAGGAUUGUUUGAAGAAAGUUCUGGGCUUUUGGUUGUUGACUCGACGACAGAUGGCGGACGGUUCGAAGUUUGCUGGGUUUAUGGGUGGUGGUGGCGGUGGAAAUGUUGUCGGAAACGGCUUCUACGAUAUGGGGUUUUAUCGGAAGCUUGACGAGGUUUCCAACAUGUCCGUAGAUAGUGUUGGAAGCCUGCAGACGAGUACCGGUGGUGGAUCCGUUGCCAUGUCAUUGGAAAACAGCAGUGUCGGAUCGAACAACUCGAGAACUGGAAUACUGCAUCACACCGGACUCCGCCUGUUCUCGGUGGGGCACAGCGUGCUGCGACCCGGCAGGGUGUCUCAUGCUAUGAAUGAGGAUGCAUUGGCUCAGACCUUGAUCGACCCACGAUAUCCCACGGAGUCUCUCGAGAACUAUGAUGAGUGGACCAUUGACCUCAGGAAGUUGAGUAUGGGGGUGGCCUUUGCUCAGGGUGCUUUUGGGAAGCUCUAUAGGGGCACUUAUGAUGGAGAAGAUGUCGCAAUUAAGUUGUUGGAAAAGCCAGAGAAUGACCCUGAGAGAGCCCAGUUGAUGGAGCAGCAGUUUGGGCAGGAGGUUAUGAUGCUUGCAAAUCUCAAGCACCCAAAUAUCGUCAGGUUCAUUGGGGCAUGCAGGAAGCCAAUGGUGUGGUGCAUUGUGACAGAGUAUGCCAAAGGUGGAUCAGUCCGACAAUUCCUCAUGAAAAGGCAGAACAGGUCGGUGCCUCUCAAGUUGGCCGUCAAGCAAGCACUAGAUAUUGCUAAGGGUAUGGAGUAUGUGCAUGGGUUGGGAUUCAUACAUAGGGAUCUUAAGUCUGACAAUCUUCUUAUAUUUGCUGACAAAUCAAUUAAGAUUGCUGACUUUGGGGUUGCCCGCAUUGAGGUCAAACCUGAGGGAAUGACCCCUGAAACUGGAACUUAUCGAUGGAUGGCUCCGGAGAUGAUACAGCACAGACCUUACAAUCAGAAAGUUGAUGUUUAUAGCUUUGGCAUCGUUCUGUGGGAGCUUAUAACGGGGAUGCUCCCGUUUCAGAAUAUGUCUGCCGUGCAGGCAGCAUUUGCUGUUGUGAACAAAGGAGUACGCCCGGUUGUACCACAAGAUUGCCUCCCUGCACUUGGCGAGAUCAUGACUCGCUGCUGGGAUGCUGACCCCGAUGUACGCCCCUCGUUUUCUGAAAUUGUCAGGAUGCUCGAAAGUGCACAAGAAGAAAUUAUGAAUACUGUUCGUAAGGCACGUUUCCGCUGUUGCAUGCAACCAAUGACCAUCGACUGAGAAGGGUGGCAAGUAGAUGAAUCAGAGGAAGUUGUUGAAAUGUGGGUUUGGUCGAUUCACCUUUAUAAGAAGGUUACAGUUCAUAACAUCCUCAUGGAAAUUCUAAUGCUACCAAGUGAGACAGGUAAUCAUGCAAGAUUAUUUUUCAACAGAACACUGCUUUGAAUGUUGACAGUCAGCUGUGUAUUACAGAAGACAGAAACAGGAAGAAAAAGCCCCAACUUUUUUUUCUACCUAAAGCAAUACAAGUUUUUAGUGCAAGUUGGAGAGAGUAGAAGAAUGGAAUGUGAUGCUACUAAUGAACAUACCAGAAUUUGGCACAGGAAUUAUGGACAUGC